rnacentral:rRNA from 1 species
UACGGGGGGAGCAAGCGUUGUUCGGAUUUACUGGCGUAAAGGGCGCGUAGGCGGUCAGCACAAGUCAAUUGUGAAAUCUCCGAGCUUAACUCGGAAAGGUCAACUGAAACUGUGCGACUAGAGUGCGGAAGGGGCAACUGGAAUUCUUGGUGUAGCGGUGAAAUGCGUAGAUAUCAAGAGGAACACCUGCGGCGAAGGCGGGUUGCUGGGCCGACACUAACGCUGAAGCGCGAAAGCCAGGGGAGCGAACGGG